rnacentral:rRNA from 1 species
GACGAACGCUGGCGGCGCGCCUAACACAUGCAAGUCGAACGAGCGAGAGAGAGCUUGCUUUCUCAAGCGAGUGGCGAACGGGUGAGUAACGCGUGAGGAACCUGCCUCAAAGAGGGGGACAACAGUUGGAAACGACUGCUAAUACCGCAUAAGCCCACGGCUCGGCAUCGAGCAGAGGGAAAAGGAGUGAUCCGCUUUGAGAUGGCCUCGCGUCCGAUUAGCUAGUUGGUGGGGUAACGGCUCACCAAGGCGACGAUCAGUAGCCGGUCUGAGAGGAUGAACGGCCACAUUGGGACUGAGACACGGCCCAA